AUGGACAGCAAAGACCUGAUGUCCACCAGCAGUCAUGUGAUUGACUUUGCAAAUGUAUCUCCUGAGGCCCAUCAAGAACCAGGCACUGAACCUGCACGUUUUCCAAAAAUUAUCUUGCACAAGAGUGUGUGCCUCCUCUCACUCAUUCUGAGUUAUCUUCCAGAACAACAAUAUGUUCUUUGCAAAGGAAGGGUUAAGUACUGUCAAACUUCUCCAACUUCCAAGGGUAGGCAGAGCUUGCAUGUAAAUCCUGAGGAUGAACAACAGGUGGAAUGUGGGAGAGAAAAGACAUACUCUGCUUGGAUCUCCAUCUCCAAAAGAAAUCCCUGAUCCCCUAAUGAGUCAAAUGCAGAAUCAACUGGCUUUGCUUGGGACCAUGAAGUCCAUUAUGAUUCUAAGAUAAAGUGAGCUUAAUUUCUGCAUGAGAGAUAGGAACAGCCUGGGGAUUCUCAGCAGUAAGACUAUAAAACUCUCUGACAGUGACCAUGCUGCAAAGAAAACAACACUUUGGUUUCCCUUUACUGGAUUAAAGAAACUCUUGGGAUUUCCCUCAAUAUCUGGA
rnacentral:lncRNA from 12 species